GUGCUCACUUCGGCAGCACAUAAACUAAAAUUGAAAUGAUACAGAGAAGAUUAGCAUGGCCCCUGCUCAAGGAUGACAAGCAAGGAUGAAGCAAAAACACAACUAAAUUUU